rnacentral:rRNA from 1 species
AUGGUGCCCAUUAGAGCCGGGCUUGCCACCUAUAAUGGCGGGGAGCAAGCGGAGAGCUUUCCCUGUCCCUUUAUGGGGGAACGGGUCUGCCUUGUUCCCUAUCUAUUAAGGGGACUCGGAUUUUCAAUUCAUCCGUUCCUCCGCGGGCUCCUGGAGUUCUACGGCCUCCAAUUACACAAUUUCACCCCCGCCUCCAUCCUACAUAUCGCCGGCUAUGUGGCUCUCUGUGAGUUGUUCCUGGGCUGCGAGGCUCACUUCGAGCUGUGGAAAAGGCUAUUUUGCCUCGUCCCUCGCACACAGAGGGGGUCACUUUAUUAA